rnacentral:tRNA from 1 species
CGGAGAUUGGGAAAGUUUGGUAAUCCGCUUGCUUUGGGAGCAAGAUAUCGAAGGUUCGAAUCCUUCAUCUCCGA